AUUGAACGCUGGCGGCAUGCUUUACACAUGCAAGUCGAACGGCAGCGCGGGCUUCGGCCUGGCGGCGAGUGGCGAACGGGUGAGUAAUGCAUCGGAACGUGCCCAGUAGUGGGGGAUAGCCCGGCGAAAGCCGGAUUAAUACCGCAUACGACCUGAGGGUGAAAGCGGGGGACCGAAAGGCCUCGCGCUAUUGGAGCGGCCGAUGUCGGAUUAGCUAGUUGGUGGGGUAAAGGCUUACCAAGGCGACGAUCCGUAGCUGGUCUGAGAGGACGACCAGCCACACUGGGACUGAGACUCGGCCCAGACUCCUACGGGAGGCAGCAGUGGGGAAUUUUGGACAAUGGGGGCAACCCUGAUCCAGCCAUGCCGCGUGCGGGAAGAAGGCCUUCGGGUUGUAAACCGCUUUUGUUCGGGAAGAAAUCCUCUGGGCUAAUACCCCGGGGGGAUGACGGUACCGGAAGAAUAAGCACCGGCUAACUACGUG
rnacentral:rRNA from 1 species